AAAUAAAAAAUUAUUAAUUGUUUUUGUAAAAAAGUUUUUUAAUAUAAAUAAAUUUAUUUUAAUAUUUUUUGUAUUAUUUAAAGAUAAAAUAAUUUUUAUAAUAGUAAAGUAGUAUUGAUAAAGAAUUUUGAAAAAUUUAUUAUUUAAUUAAAAGUAAUAUUUAUUUUAUGUACCUUUUGUAUCAGGGUUUAUUAAUUAAAAAUUAAAGAUUUUAAUAUUCUCGAAUUAAAAGGAGCUAAUUUAAUAUGAUAGUUUAUGUAUUAUAAUAAUUAUAAAUAUUGAAUUAGUAAUGAAAUGUUAUUCGUCUUUUAAAAUAUCUAGUUUUUUAAGAAAUAAAUUUAAUUUACAUAUUAGUAAUAUAAUAUUUUUUAUUUAAAAAUAAAUUAUUUAUUAAUAUGAAUAUAUUAAGGGAUAAGCUUUAAUUUAUUGAAUUAUAAUUUUGUAAAUAUAAAAAUUAAUUGUAGAUUUAGAAAUAGUUAUCAAUAAAAAUUUUGUAUUAAUUUAUAAGAAUUAUUUAAUAUUUUAUAAAAUUUAAUUUUAGUAUUAAAAUAUAUUUUUUAAUAAUAAAAAAGUAGAAAUAAUGAUGAAAUUAGUAUAUAUAAUUUAUUUGUUUUAAUAAUUAAAUAAAAUUAAUUUAAGGAAUUCGGCAAAAUAAUAUUCACCUGUUUAACAAAAACAUGUCUUUUAGAAAAUAAUUUAAAGUCUAACCUGCCCACUGAAUUAUUUUGAAGGGCCGCAGUAUUUUGACUGUGCAAAGGUAGCAUAAUCAUUAGUCUUUUAAUUGAAGGCUUGUAUGAAUGGUUGGAUGAGAUAUUAACUGUCUCAAAUUAAUAAAAUAGAAUUUAAUUUUUAAGUUAAAAAGCUUAAAUAUAAUUAGAGGACGAGAAGACCCUAUAGAUCUUUAUAUUUUAAUUUAUAAUUUUUAUUUAGUUUUGAAAAUAUUUUUAUAAAUAAUAAUAUUUUAUUGGGGUGAUAACUAAAUUUAGUUAACUUUAUUUAAUAAAAACAUUAAUUUAUGAAUAAUUGAUCCAUUAUUAGUGAUUAUAAGAUUAAGUUACCUUAGGGAUAACAGCGUAAUUUUUUUAGAGAGUUCUUAUCGAUAAAAAAGUUUGCGACCUCGAUGUUGAAUUAAAGAUUAAUUUAGGUGCAGUAGUUUAAAUGUUUGGUCUGUUCGACCAUUAAAUCUUUACAUGAUUUGAGUUCAAACCGGCGUGAGCCAGGUUGGUUUCUAUCCUUAAUAAAAUAAAAUAUUUUAGUACGAAAGGACCAAAUAUUUAAAAAAUUUUUUUUAUAAGAAUAAUAUUAAU
rnacentral:rRNA from 1 species